UACGGAGGGUGCAAGCGUUGCUCGGAAUUAUUGGGCGUAAAGGGUAGGUAGGUGGUCUUAUUUGUCUGGGGUGAAAGCCUUGGGCUUAACUCAAGAAGUGCCCCAGAAACGGUAAGACUAGAGUCCUAGAGAGGGUCGUGGAAUUCCCGGUGUAGCGGUGAAAUGCGUAGAGAUCGGGAGGAACACCAGAGGCGAAAGCGGCGACCUGGACAGGUACUGACACUCAACCACGAAAGCGUGGGGAGCAAACAGG
rnacentral:rRNA from 1 species